rnacentral:lncRNA from 1 species
GGAAGUGAGGAGCGCCUCUUCCCAGCCGCCAUCACAUCUAGGAAGUGAGGAGCGUCUCUGCCUGGCCGCCCAUCGUCUGAGAUGUGGGGAGCGCCUCUGCCCCGCCGCCCCAUCUGGGAUGUGAGGAGUGCCUCUGCCCGGCCGAGACCCCGUCUGGGAGGUGAGGAGCAUCUCUGCCCGGCCGCCCCGUCUGAGAAGUGAGGAGACCCUCUGCCUGGCAACCACUCCGUCUGAGAAGUGAGGAGCCCCUCCGCCCGGCAGCUGCCCCGUCUGAGAAGUGAGGAGCCUCUCCGCC